UACGUAGGGUGCGAGCGUUGUCCGGAAUUAUUGGGCGUAAAGAGCUUGUAGGCGGUUUGUCGCGUCUUCUGUGAAAAUCCGGGGCUCAACCCCGGACUUGCAGUGGGUACGGGCAGACUGGAGUGUGGUAGGGGAGACUGGAAUUCCUGGUGUAGCGGUGGAAUGCGCAGAUAUCAGGAGGAACACCGAUGGCGAAGGCAGGUCUCUGGGCCACUACUGACGCUGAGAAGCGAAAGCAUGGGGAGCGAACAGG
rnacentral:rRNA from 1 species